rnacentral:rRNA from 1 species
GAUUGAACGCUGGCGGCAGGCCUAACACAUGCAAGUCGAACGGUAACAGGAAGCAGCUUGCUGCUUYGCUGACGAGUGGCGGACGGGUGAGUAAUGUCUGGGAAACUGCCUGAUGGAGGGGGAUAACUACUGGAAACGGUGGCUAAUACCGCAUAACGUCGCAAGACCAAAGAGGGGGACCUUCGGGCCUCUUGCCAUCAGAUGUGCCCAGAUGGGAUUAGCUUGUUGGUGAGGUAACGGCUCACCAAGGCGACGAUCCCUAGCUGGUCUGAGAGGAUGACCAGCCACACUGGAACUGAGACACGGUCCAGACUCCUACGGGAGGCAGCAGUGGGGAAUAUUGCACAAUGGGCGCAAGCCUGAUGCAGCCAUGCCGCGUGUAUGAAGAAGGCCUUAGGGUUGUAAAGUACUUUCAGCGGGGAGGAAGGUGUUGUGGUUAAUAACCRCAGCAAUUGACGUUACCCGCAGAAGAAGCACCGGCUAACUCCG